rnacentral:rRNA from 1 species
GAACGAACGCUGGCGGCAUGCCUAACACAUGCAAGUCGAACGAGACCUUCGGGUCUAGUGGCGCACGGGUGCGUAACGCGUGGGAAUCUGCCCUUGGUUCGGAAUAACUUCGGGAAACUGAAGCUAAUACCGGAUAAUGACGUAAGUCCAAAGAUUUAUCGCCAAGGGAUGAGCCCGCGUAGGAUUAGCUAGUUGGUGGGGUAAAGGCUCACCAAGGCGACGAUCCUUAGCUGGUCUGAGAGGAUGAUCAGCCACACUGGGACUGAGACACGGCCCAGACUCCUACGGGAGGCAGCAGUGGGGAAUAUUGGACAAUGGGCGAAAGCCUGAUCCAGCAAUGCCGCGUGAGUGAUGAAGGCCUUAGGGUUGUAAAGCUCUUUUACCCGGGAAGAUAAUGACUGUACCGGGAGAAUAAGCCCCGGCUAACUCCGUG